GGUAGCAUGGCCGAGCGGUCUAAGGCGCUGGUUUAAGGCACCAGUCAUUUCGAAUGGCGUGGGUUCGAAUCCCCCACUGCUGCCA
rnacentral:tRNA from 1 species